GCUGUGGGACUUCCAGGAGUCCGAGUCCCAUGCUCUGCCUCUGAGGCUGGUGGCUGGGGUAAAGCUGGGCAGGGCUGAGCCAGGCAGGGCUGUACUGAGGCUCCCCGAUGGUAGGUACAAGCAACGGCCAUAACAUGGAUCAGAAGGCAGUGCUCAGGCCACUGGGGCAAUGCUUCAAGGAGGAGCAUAACAACUUAUUUUGUGCCAAAGAGUCAGCAUGGGAAAAGAGAAGCAGUUUGUGUUCCACAACCUAGCAGAUGGUAGUGACACCUGCCUCACUCCCACACCCUUGACCCAGCAAGGCUCCCUCCCAUAACCCGCUCCUGGCAGCAAGCUGAAACAGUAAGUCAAGACACAAGCAAUCUGUCUUCAGAUUACAAAACUGUCCUAUGCCACAAAACUCCCUGCCAGGGACAAAAACUUGGACUCCCAGGCCACACCCCUCCGACUCCAGUCCUGCAUCCUGCAGUGGGACUGCCCAACGCUUAUGCCCGUGUUUCAAACCCAUGCUACACUCAUCUCUCAGAUCUGGCCAUGGGGCACUUCCUCCUCUUAAGACUAGAUUGCAAAUCUCAUUCUUGAGAUUCUCUAAACCGAUGACUAAUGCUUGUUCCGGAUGACAGAUUUCCGCACAGCCCCCUAUGAGUUAAGAUCAGGAAUGAUCUCCUAUUAGCAUCAAGGUCUGGGAGCAUGUGCAAAGUACUUCCUGCUGCCUCUUCUCACAGUCUCUUCACUGAUCCCGGAAUUAUAUCAGUUGGAAGAGUCAAGGAGCUCCUCUGUGGCCUGGAUUGCCUGACUCCCAAGUGGAAAUGUAUACUGUGAAGACACUCUUCCCCUCUCAGGAACUUGGAACUCACAGUUUUCCGUCAGACCCACAGUGUGGUCUGCUGCCCACCAUAUUUUUCAAAGUAUCCAAAGUUUGUUUCAUUUUUAUGUUGAGCUUCCAUAUUCUUUCCUUGAUCACAAUGUGAAUCUCUGCACACUAUUUUGCUAUUUCCAAGUGAAUGAGGUUUGCUAACAAAGCCUCUAUGCCUCCAUCUUGGAGAAAAAAAAGCUAAGUAUCGAUAUAUUUUGUUUUCAUUUUUAUUUACUUCAAAAUUUUAAAUUUUUACUGAGACUUCUAUUUUGACCUCUCACUUAUUUAGAAAUGUGUCAAUUUUCAGAUAUUUGGAGCUAUCUCAGUUAUCUACAUGUUACUGACUUCUGUUUGAACUUCAUUGUAGUAUGAGAACAUACUUUGUAUUAAUUCUAUUAUUUUAUAUUUUUAAGAUGUCUUUUGUGGCCCAAAUGUGGUCAACCUUGAAGAAUGUUCCAUGUGAUCAUGAAAAAAAUAUAUAUAUAUUCCACCAUUGUGGAUGUACUUUGCUAAACAUGUCAACUAGAUAAGUUAGUGAUAGAGAUGUUCAGUUUAAAUAUAUUUUCAUUUUCUGCUUGUUGCAUCUGUCAGUUACUAAUGGGUAAGUGUUGAAAUCUCCAGAUAUAAUAGUGCCUCUGUUAGCCUAUUUCUCCUUCAGUUUUAUCAAUAUUACUGCAUGUAUUUUAAUGUUCUCUUGUAUGAGGCAUACACAUUUAGGAUUGUUAUGUCUUUUUGGAAAAUUAACCCUUUUAUCAUUAGAUAAAGCUCUGUAACCCUAAUAAUCUCUAUCUUUCCUGAUGUCUGCUUUGUCUGAAAUUAAUAUAGCUCCUUUGCUUUCUUUUGAUUAGCACUUUGUGUGUUUCUUUAUCUUUUUACUUUUAACCCAGAUGUAUCUUUAUAUAUUUAAAAUGGGUUUCUUAUAAGUGACAUAUAGCUAGGUUUGGUUUUGUUAUCCUCUUCAACAAUUUCUAUCUUUAACUGGUAUAUUUAGAACAUUAACAUCUAAAGAGAUUAUUGAGUGAUAUAGUUGGAUAACUAUCUACUAUGCUUAUAACUGUAUUCUAUUUCUUGUAGUUUUUUCCUUGUUUAUUUUUUCCCUCCAAUUUUUGUGAAUUCUGUGAUUUUAACUGACCAUAUAUAAUAAUUAAUUUAUAUCAUAUAUUAGUGUAUUAAUUGUACUUCUUUUUUUUAAAAAAAUAAUGAUCACUGUAGAAUUUACCAAAUAAAAUGUAAGUUAAUCUGUCUUUACCUCAAACAA
rnacentral:lncRNA from 1 species